rnacentral:rRNA from 1 species
AUUGAACGAUGGCGGCAGGCCUAACACAUGCAAGUCGAGCGGAGCGGCGGACGGGUGAGUAAUGCCUAGGAAUCUGCCUGGUAGUGGGGGAUAACGUCCGGAAAAGGGAGCUAAUACCGCAUACUCUCAGAUGAACCUCGGUCGGAUUAGCUAGUUGGUGGGGUAAAGGCCUACCAAGCCGACGAUCCGUAACUGGUCUGAGAGGAUGAUCAGUCACACUGGAACUGAGACACGGUCCAGACUCCUACGGGAGGCAGCAGUGGGGAAUAUUGGACAAUGGGCGAAAGCCUGAUCCAGCCAUGCCGCGUGUGUUAAGAAGGUCUUCGGAUUGGAAAGCACUUUAAGUUGGGAGGCGUUACCAACAGAAUAAGCACCGGCUAACUUCGUGCCAGCAGCCGCGGUAAUUC